rnacentral:rRNA from 1 species
AAUGAACGUUGGCGGCGUGGAUUAGGCAUGCAAGUCGCGCGAGAAGCGUAGCAAUACGUGGAAAGCGGCGUAAGGGAGAGUAAUCCAUGGUUAGCUACCCUCGGGACUGGGAUAGCGGCGGGAAACUGCCGGUAAUACCAGAUGACAUCUUCGGAUCAAAGGUGUGAAUCCGCCCGGGGAGGCGACCAUGUCCUAUCAGCUUGUUGGCGGGGUAAUGGCCCACCAAGGCUAAACGGGU